CCUACGGGAGGCGGCAGUGGGGAAUAUUGCACAAUGGGCGGAAGCCUGAUGCAGCGACGCCGCGUGAGGGAUGACGGCCUUCGGGUUGUAAACCUCUUUCAGUAGGGAAGAAGCGUAAGUGACGGUACCUGCAGAAGAAGCGCCGGCUAACUACGUGCCAGCAGCCGCGGUAAUACGUAGGGCGCAAGCGUUAUCCGGAAUUAUUGGGCGUAAAGAGCUCGUAGGCGGUUUGUCGCGUCUGCCGUGAAAGUCCGGGGCUCAACUCCGGAUCUGCGGUGGGUACGGGCAGACUAGAGUGAUGUAGGGGAGACUGGAAUUCCUGGUGUAGCGGUGAAAUGCGCAGAUAUCAGGAGGAACACCGAUGGCGAAGGCAGGUCUCUGGGCAUUAACUGACGCUGAGGAGCGAAAGCAUGGGGAGCGAACAGGAUUAGAUACCCUGGUAGUCCAUGCCGUAAACGUUGGGCACUAGGUGUGGGGGACAUUCCACGUUUUCCGCGCCGUAGCUAACGCAUUAAGUGCCCCGCCUGGGGAGUACGGCCGCAAGGCUAAAACUCAAAUGAAUUGACGGCUGNGAGNGCGAGCGACGACGAGGGAGAGG
rnacentral:rRNA from 1 species